CUCUCAAAUCUGACGCAGUGAGUUCAAAGAAAGGACAUAGUUAGCAAUCGUCAUGCUUGCACAAUACGGUAACAAGAAAGAAAAACAAUACGCAGCGGCUUUCUACGUUGAGCCGAAGAUAGUGUUUAGAAACAACAAGUAGACAUGAAUGCGGCAAGAUAUGUCUCCCCACCCCCCUGCAAGAGCCCCCUUUGAAAGAGCUGGCCGUUGUUUACAGCUUGAAGCCGCUCAAUCAGCUCACACUACUGCCUGCUGGACUCCAUGUGGGUUUAUCUCAACAGAGAUGAUAGGAAUCUAAACACACAUAUUUCAUUGGAGUAGCAAGUGAAGCUGCACAUUUCAUUUCAAAGUUUGUCUGCGUAUACUAUUAAACAUUUAAUUGUUAAGUACACAUCUGCAAGACCAAACUGGCCGAGAGUGGAAUUUCGGUUUUCCUAACUCGGAAAGAAAGUUUACUGCCCCUGCCGACAGCACCGGCUUCGCAUGUGUUGGAUAUCUAAACUUUACCACACUACGACGAGAAGGAAAAACACAUCUUUUGGAAAAAUGGAUGGCGUAGUUGUACACGUAAAGAGUGUGUAUGCCAAAAUUGCUGGAAGCGAAAGAUGUGGAAUGCCCCUGUAAAACGCCAAAGAAAAUAAAUGAUCUGCUGCCAUGCCAGUGUGGGUGAUAUGUCAUCUUCGAAUGAUAGCAGUGAUAUCACUGCUAUCACUUUUGCUAUUAGCAACUGGGCUGGGCCUGAGUUCAACACGUGGUUUUGUGGUACAAGGAAAAGACUCAUAUUCUCCCUCUUAUCCCACUUUCUUACGGAAUGACACAGAAUUUGAACACUUGGCCUUGCAUCCUCACCCCAAUGUGGGUCGAGUUUACGUUGGCGCUCGUGACAACUUGUUUCAGUUGGACAAAUUUCUCCAGCCUGAACUCCAGGAUCACACUGGACCAGUCAAAGACAGCCAAGAGUGCUUGCCUCCUGUGACCUUGAAUAACUGUCCUCAAGCAAGGCUCACGAGCAACCACAACAAGCUCUUGCUGAUUAACCCAUACACCAUGGAACUUAUUACUUGCGGCAGUGUUAACCAAGGUAUCUGCCAGAAACGAAGUCUUGAUUCUGUCAAAAAGGUGUUGUUCUCCACUGAGACACCAGUGGAUACUCAGUAUGUAGCAGCUAAUCACCCAAAUGUUAGUACCGUUGGCCUCAUCGUUCAGUCCCAUCCGCACAGCCAGCCGGUUCUUUUUGUUGGUCGCGGCUACACAAGCAGCCACCCGCCCAUUGCCACACGAAACCUUGACCAGGAACCCAUCUUUUCUUAUGAGGAAACUGCAAAAUUAGCUGUGGCUGGUCGCCUCUCUGAAUAUGACCACCAUUUUAUAGCAUCCUUUGCCCACCAUAAUCAUGUGUACUUCCUUUUCUACAGGCGAGACUUGACGUCAAAGUCACGCGAGUACCGCACAUACGUCUCUCGUAUAUGUUUGGAUGAUCAAGCCUAUUACUCAUAUGUGGAAGUGCCCUUGACAUGUCAUUCCCGGGCAGGAAAGAAUUAUAAUCUCCUUCAAGCAGUCGAUCUAGGAUUCUCCAAAGAUGGCACAGGGAAUCAAGGGUCUGAGAUUAUUCUUGGUGUUUUUUCCACUCCGUUGGCUUCAUCAAAUCGACCCAGUGAGGACUCUGCCCUAUGCAUGUUUAACCUGGAAGAUGUGGACCGCAGGAUAAACUCCACCAGAGACCUAUGUUACACAAAGAUGGGCAGAGAGUCCGGAAUGGAGGCAGCCUACAUUGAGUACGAAGUCAAAUCUAAAUGUGUCAACCUGCUCGAGAAUACUCUUGAUCGGUACCCUUGCGGAUCUGAUCACACACCUAGCCCCAUGGGUAGUCGGAUUGCUGUGGAAGCUGAAACAAUUUUGGACAGCCCCUCUGCUCGACUCACAGCGGUUGCAGUAAGCAUGAGGGCGGGCCAUACGAUUGCAUUCUUGGGAGACUCCAAGGGAAACCUGCACAAGGUGUUCCUAGGGCCAAAUGGUGAAGUGGAGGAAUACUCCAUAUGUUCCAUUCAGCAGAACACAGCCAUCAACUCAGACCUUGUCCUGGAUAAAGAAGAGCAGCAUCUGUUCAUCAUGACCCAUAACAUGCUGCAGAAGAGGCCAGUAGCUGAAUGCCAGCAGAACCCCGACUGUCACUCCUGCCUGCAGGCCCAUGAUCCUUACUGUGGCUGGUGUGUCCUUGAAGGAAGAUGUGUUUUGCAGGCAGAGUGUCCUCGUGGGAACCACCAUGGCCAGUGGUUUUGGAGCUUUGACAUGGAACAGCAGUGCCUGGCUGUCCAAGCAAUCAACCCAUUAAACAUCAGCAGGGGGGAAAGUAGGACAAUCUCUUUAUUGGUUCCAGGGCUUCCAGUUUUAGAAAAGGGUGAGUCCUUCUCCUGUUUUUUCCAAGGGAUCCGCAGCCCUGCCACAGUCACUGCAAGUGGUGUCACCUGUCAUUCUCCACACAUCAGCGAAGUGCCCAUAGUACCUCCAGGACAGGAUUUUGUCACAGUCCUCUUGUCUCUUCGUUUUGGUGAUGUCACAGUUGCAGAGAGGUAUUUCACCUUUUAUGACUGCGUGGCUGUUAAGCAGCUUUCAGGAAGUCUGCUCUGCCGUGGUUGUGUUCUGAGCCAAUGGGGUUGUAAUUGGUGUGUUCACCAGCACUUAUGUACCCACAAGCCCACUUGUGAAAAAGGUGUUAUCAUCUAUAACCAACAUUUCGAACUCCCCACCUCAGCUCCGACCACUACCAACAGGCUAAAGGUAUUCUCAACGCCCACUACCACAGUUGUGGCCACAGGCACUGCAGCCAUCACAGUAGCUCCUACAACAAUAGCAUCAACUAUUGCCACAACAACUACACUUCCUUUUGCUGCGUUGACAAUUCAGGCACCGACCAGCCCACCUGCACCAAUAACCUCACAUGCCAUUGUUCCUCAGAUGACCACCACCCCUCAGCUUUCCAGUAGCAUGACAAUCACAAAACCCACAUCUAUCACAUUUCCACCCAUAGACAUUAAAACCAGGAAAGAAGAAUCUUCUGAUGCAGUUGAGGUUAUGUUCGUCUCUGAAACAGGCAUAGAGUCUACUGAAGUUAGUACUCAUUUAAAUGUAGAAUUAUUGCCUGUGCCAAUUGAUGGGGAUCUAAAGCCCAUAAUGCCUCAGGUUAUCCCACCUCCUGACUCUGACUCCCUGGAAGUGAUAACAGAGUUACCCAUCACUGAAACUCAGGAACUUGGUGUAACACUGAGCUGGGUGGAUCCACUCACCUUGACAUCAUCUGACUUCCCUCGACCAACACCCUUUCUCAAAGCCGAAUCAGCCAACUCUGAGUCUUCCAUCAAACUGGAUCUGAUUGAAGCACCAACUCUCGUACCAACUCUAUACUAUCAAACUCAGUCUCAAAGCAGGGAUUUUAACCCUGGUGUGCUCUGGUCCAAGGAGGAAGAUGACAUCCAUGCUCAUAGCACCUUCCUUGCAGACAACAACAUCGCCAAUCUUUCAGCUGGCACCAUGCUUUCAGGUGAUGGUGAAGUUGACUCUGCAUCCCCAGUUUAUCCCCACUUGGUGGAUACUGAACUGGACUACCAGUAUGAUCCUGGUGACAGCUUCCUCCCGGGGGAUGAGGAAUCCUAUGUCAGCUGGGGUUCUUCAGCUUGCCCUUGUGUGGAGAAGGUCCAGAGUUCAUUGUUACUCCCUGUCAGAGUUGAGAGGAAAAUCACUUUACUUGCCCGCAACCUCCAUCUGUAUCAGGAUACUGAGUUGGACUAUCAAUGUGUGUUGGUCAUUGAAGGGCAAACAGUGGUGGUGGAUGCCUAUGUGGAGACUGAUGACAUGAAUCCAUCCUACUUUGAUAUCACCUGUCAACUACACCAGUACACAUAUUCUGCCCCCGUGGAAGAAUAUCAAGCGAUGGUGUAUGUUAAGAGGAAGGAGAAAUUCCAUGUUGACAGCUUUCCUGACCUUCACGUGACUUUGUACAACUGCUCGGUGGGACGGUCUGACUGUAGUCGUUGCCACACUGUAGAACAGAAGUAUGGUUGUGUGUGGUGUGGUGGUGCACAAGACAGUUGUUUAUAUUCUGGCUCAUGCAGUGAAUCGGUACAGCAGACGUGCCCAGCUCCGGUCAUUCAGUCUAUUGAGCCACUUUCUGGAAUGCUAGACGGUGGCACUAUGGUGACCAUAACAGGCUCCAACCUGGGCCAAAAAGCAGAGGACAUCCUUAAUUCUGUUUCAGUUGCUGGUGUCCCUUGCAUAGUCAUAACCCAUCUCUACGAAGUCUCCUCCAGGAUUGUUUGCAGAACAAAAGCCAGUGAAGGAGAGAAGAUGGGCCAUGUGUCUGUUAAAGUGACCAAAGGAGAGUUUGGCAUUUCCAGACAGACAUUCCGCUUUCAGGAUCCAUUUGUGAUGGGAAUAUUACCUGAAAGAGGUCCCAAAGCUGGCGGAACAACUUUGACAAUCGGUGGCCGAAACCUGUUAACAGGACGUCCUUCGGAUCUCACCGUCACUCUGGGAGGAGUGCCCUGUCACAUGGUGUCAGAGGUUCAGAGCUCCCGUGUUCAGUGUGUGACAGGUUACAGCAACAAGACAGGAAAUCACCAGGUCACUCUGCAUUAUGGCAGCAGCAAACGCCACCUCCACACUUCAUCCUACUAUUACACUCACAACCCCAACAUCACGCACGCCAAGCCAACUAAGAGCUUCCUAAGUGGUGGUCGACUGAUCUAUGUAUCAGGGCACAACCUGGACGUAGUACAGGUGCCCCAGAUGGUUGUCACUGUGUCUCCUUACGAGUCCAUCCAGAAAAUUAGGAGUAGCAGAAGGAAGAAACGCAGAAGCGGAGACGAGAAAGUGGAACAGAUCAAAAUGGCUUCUGAUCUAGUUUGCCUGGGAGAUCUGCUCUGCUCUGUCAAACAGUUCACAGAACGUUGUGAGGUGAAUUCCUCAUCCUUGAUGCUAUGUCGAUCCCCUGUGGUGGACUCUUCUGUUUGGCGGUCAAAGGUCACUGUGGAGUUUCUGCUCGACAACCUUCGAUUUGAUGUUAAGAGUUUGAACUUGCAACCCUUCAGCUAUGAGCCCAACCCCAUCCUGCGCCCGUUGAAUCAGCAGGACCCUCUGAAGGCAUAUCGCUACAAUCCUGGCAGCUUCAUUCAACUUGAGGGGGAAAAUUUAGAUCUAGCUAUUAACAAGGAGGAGGUGCUUGUGUUAAUCGGGGAAGGUGUCUGUGCUGUUAAGACACUUACAAGAAACCAUCUGUACUGUGAACCGCCACAACAUCAGCCUCCAUCGGGAACAGAUGGGAAGAAACGUGACAGUUCUGACACCCUACCAGAAUUCACUGUCCAUAUGGGAAAUAUAAACUUCUCCCUGGGUAAGGUUCAGUAUGACAAUUUAAGCCUGGCCACCUUUCCCUUGGAAGCUCAGAUUGGAGUCGGAGUUGGGGCAUCCAUUGUGGCACUCAUUGUCCUAAUCAUUGUACUUGUCUACAGGAGAAAGAGUAAGCAGGCUCUAAGAGACUACAAAAAAGUUCAAAUCCAACUCGAAAACCUGGAAACAAGCGUGAGGGACCGUUGCAAGAAGGAGUUUACAGACCUGAUGACCGAGAUGAUGGACAUGUCAAAUGACCUAGUUGGUUCUGGAAUCCCUUUCCUUGAUUACCGGAUGUACGCUGAGCGCAUUUUCUUCCCUGGCCACCGGGAGACACCACUGAGGCGAGACCUUGAUGUUCAGGAGUGUCGCAGACAGACAGUGGAGCAGGGUCUGGUGCAACUAUCUAACCUUCUCAACAGUAAACUCUUCCUCACCAAGUUCAUUCAUACCCUGGAAAGUCAACGGACUUUCUCUCCCCGAGACCGUGCAUAUGUUGCUUCUUUACUUACGGUCGCGCUGCACGGCAAACUGGAAUACUUUACUGAUAUUCUCAAAACCCUCUUGAAUGACCUUGUGGAGCAAUAUGUGGCCAAGAACCCCAAACUGAUGCUGCGGAGAACCGAGACAGUGGUGGAGAAGCUGCUGACCAACUGGAUGUCCAUCUGUCUCUAUGCUUUCCUCAGAGACUCAGCAGGGGAGUGCCUUUACAUGCUUUUCAGGGCAAUCAAGCACCAGGUGGAUAAAGGACCAGUUGAUGCUGUAACUGGCAAGGCCAAAUACACACUCAAUGACAACCGCUUGCUAAGAGAGGACGUGGAGUACAAGACCUUGACACUUAAUGUACUGGUCCAGGGUGGAGGAAUCAAUGACUGCCAGCCACUACCCUCAAAAGUGCUGGAUUGUGACACCAUCACACAGGUGAAAGAGAAGUUGUUGGAUCAGGUGUACAAAGGCAUCUCUUUCUCUUACCGACCGCAUACAGAUUCAGUGGACCUGGAAUGGAGGUCUGGUGUUGCUGGUCAUCUCAUCUUGUCAGAUGAGGACUUAACAUCUGUGGUCCAGGGUAACUGGAAACGUCUCAACACCUUGCAGCACUACAAGGUCCCAGAUGGUGCAACAAUAGCUCUGGUCCCUCGCCACACAAAACACAUUCACCAUGACAACCAUGACUAUGUGGCUGGAGAGAAAACACCGAUGUUGGAGGACGCAGAGGAAGGCGGCAUGAGACUUUGGCAUUUGGUGAAGGCCAGCGAAGAAUCUGAGCUGCCCAAACAUCGCAGAGGCAGUCUGAGGGAAAGAGAGAGAGCCAAGGCCAUACCAGAGAUGUACUUGACCCGUCUGCUUUCCAUGAAGGGGACCCUGCAGAAAUUCGUAGAUGAUUUGUUUACAGUUAUCCUCAGCGCCAGUCGACCUGUCCCACUGGCUGUCAAAUACUUCUUUGACCUGCUGGAUGACCAAGCUCGUCAACACUGUAUCUCUGAUCCAGAGACUAUACACAUUUGGAAGACCAACAGUCUCCCCCUGCGUUUUUGGAUCAACAUUGUGAAGAAUCCCGAGUUCAUCUUUGAUGUGCAAGUCUCAGACCAUGUGGAUGCAGUGCUUUCGGUCAUCGCUCAGACCUUCAUGGACUCCUGUACCAUUGCUGAGCACAAAUUGGGACGGGAUUCGCCAAUCAACAAGCUGUUGUAUGCUCGAGAUAUCCCCCGUUACAAACAGAUGGUAGAAAGAUACUAUGCUGACAUUAGGCAGACUAUCUCUGCUAGCGACCAAGAGAUGAACUCUUCUCUGGCUGAACUAUCAAGGAAUUAUUCAGGAGAACUGAACUACUUGGUUGCACUGCAUGAGCUGUACAAGUAUAUUAAUAAAUACUACGACCAGGUAAGCAAAAAGCCCAACCUACCUGUCUAUGUAUACAUUGUUGAACCCAGUGAACCUUUGCAGGUGGUUGGGGAAGCAAGAUGCAUGAUCAAGAAAAAGAAUCAGAACAAUCCUGCUCAUUCUGCUAAAAUUUUAAAUUGGUUCAUGCAACUCUGUGGAGUUCUCAUCUUCUUUUGUUGACUUUCACCAGAUAAUAUUUCUUUCUCCCACAUUCCAGAAAGUUUGGUGAGAUUGUCAGUGCCUACAAAAAUUGCAGAUGGAAAAGUAACUUUGGACAGUAAGAGAGAGAUAAUCACUGCACUGGAGGAGGACACCACAGCCCAGAAGAUGCAGCUUGGCUACAGGCUACAACAGGUUGCUGCAGCUGUAGAGAAUAAGGUCACAGAUUUGUGACAGAAAACUUCUACAAGUGAUAUAACAAACAGUGGCGUGAGGUAGUAUACAUUGCCAGUUGAACUGAAAUGCAUGCUAGCGAUGAAGAUUUUUAGGAUUCAUCGCUUGCAGAAAAGGGGCUGAGUUUUUAAGUCAACUUCAUAAUUUUAUUGUGAAGCAGCUGAAGAUAAGGAUAGCUGAAGUCGACCUCCUAGCUCUUUUUUGUACUAUUUGUACAUUCUGGAUUUUGGUUAUUGUAAGAAUUUGACAAUUAUCUGGAAAAAUAAAGAUGGGAUAUAAAAUUAACAAUUCAGACCUGCUGUUAUGGUAAUCUCCAUUCAUGUUGUUGCUGCUGUUUGGUGAAAUUCAAUUUUUUGCUUACUUCUGAGAUUCCUAAAUAUGUGUGAAGAGUGAUUGUUUGUGAUUUGUUUUUGCUGCUUGUCACUUAACCUAUAUUAUUUUGGUCUUAAAAUGUGCAAAUGUUGUAAAGCGGUAAAAGUGUCAAAAAAUAUAUGCUCUGUAAGUCAUUUAUUGUACAGAGAAUUUGAGACAACUUUUGCCCCCCUUUCACCUUCAUUUUAAACUUCCCCCAUGCCAAUUUAGGUAGGUUUUCAAAGUGCUUCUCUCUCCCUCAACCUGCUGUGGUACAUGACGUGCUUUUAUUCAGUGAAUCAGCGUUGAGUGUAUUUUACACAAACAACAUUAUGAUACUUCCUAGACAUUAUGAUUUAAAUGAUCACAUGAUUCUAAUUUGUUCUGUCUACAGUGUAAGAGACUUUAAUUGAAAUCUGGCUCAUGAGUACUUUAAAGGUACAGUAUGCCCAUUCCCAGUUCCACAUUAGCAGCCCCGCAUAAUUGUGGAUUUUGUCUCAAGAGUUUUUUUCCCCCCAUAAUGUACCAAAUAUUCACAGCCAUAAAUUUCACUCAAAAGUCUGAUACUUCUCCUAAAUAGAAGGGGUACCUUAUAAUUACUGCCUUAUGUGCACACCAAGUUCCAAAAUCUGUAGAUGUUAUGUGACUGCUCCAAUUAAUUACAACUGAACAUUGUUAGCUUGCAUCCUACCAUGUGUUUUAGCAUGUAAACAAACAACCAUAUGAUGGCGCCCAUGAGGCAGAAACAAAUCAUUGCAAUUUUACACAUGUAAACGGAAGAAGCUUACAUCCCCCCAUUCACUGACAGUGUAGGCAAGUCAUUAGUCACCAUGUUGUUCGCACUCACAGUGUCAUAACGAAACUGAAAUGAUCACAGCAAAAAGAAUAGCAUAACUAGCAAAUAAUAAAAUAAAUUAAACAAUGACUGAAGAAAUAACACAAAACAUGCACUUUAAACGUUAUUUGUAUUUUUUGUGUCAAUUAUUUCUUCAAAAUCAGAAUCAGCUUUAAUGGCCAAACACACGAGAAAUUUGUCUCCGGCAGUCGCUGCCGCCCUGGUAUGACAUUCAGAACAAAGAACUAACAAGAACAAAGAACAUGAGACAUUCAUUUUAUAGGAACCAUUCCUUAUAAGAGUCACAGUGGUUGAAGAUAGUCUUCUUCAUUUAGAGCAGUUAACAGUGCGUCAACGCCCCACUUUAUGUUAGGUUUAUACAGAGUGCCCAAACCAAUUCGUGGUUCACCAUUAUAGACCACUGCAAUGACAAUUGUGCAAAGGGAGCGGUUUAAACUGACGAAUUGUGCAAUAGUCUACAGCAGGUGUGCUCAAUGUGUCGAUCAGCCAGGCAGAGGUAGUUUGGUCGAUCGCGUGACAGCGUGCCAAAAAAAAAAAAAAAAAAAGACAGCUUAUCAUCCAUCGUGUUGCUUGAUUCAGGUGUGGCCAUUACGUCGAUCGCACGCGCAUAAAAACAUGUUCUAGCAAGCUAGUCGCCCAUUUAUUUACUUACGAGCUCACACCCAACAUGUCUGUAGUCAUUAAGACCUGAGACUGAUGUUUUUUGGGGGACCGAUAUGAUGUUGGAGUGUUUCAAGCAAGUUAGUAUGUCAGAUAGUUGUAGAGACCUUUUGAAGAUAAUUGUGAAGACAGGAGCAAGUUAGUCUACACAGAGGAGAAAGGAGCUAAUACCUUGUAUGAACUGAUUUACUGCUCAAGAAAAUGUUAGUUCAGAUUUUGAUAGAGGAUUGGAAAUGAUCAAAAAUAUUUCUCAGAGAGAAAUUUAACUAUGACUUUGAAUACAUUGAGAGAUGUAGAGCAGGCUCUGCAAGGAGCAAUUUUAAAUUGUUUUAAUUUGUGUUAUUAACAUUGUCCACACUGUUUUAAAAUGUUACUGUAGUGAUUUAAAUGCUGACGUAAUAAAGUGUUCUAAUUUUG